rnacentral:misc_RNA from 1 species
UACGGAGGGUGCAAGCGUUAAUCGGAAUUACUGGGCGUAAAGCGCGCGUAGGCGGUUACAUAAGUUGGAAGUGAAAGCCCCGGGCUCAACCUGGGAACUGCUUUCAAAACUGUGUGACUAGAGUGCAGCAGAGGAUAGUGGAAUUUCUAGUGUAGCGGUGAAAUGCGUAGAUAUUAGAAGGAACACCAGUGGCGAAGGCGACUGUCUGGGCUGACACUGACGCUGAGGUGCGAAAGCGUGGGGAGCAAACAGG